CUAUUUCAUCAGUGUUUGUCUUUGUGCAGCUCCUUUCACUUUGAUGUUUAAUUUUUGAAGUGUAUAUAAUUAUAUUUGCCGAAUUGAACUUUCUCUAGGAUUUGAGGAUCUCAAUUUACAAGUCAAAGAUGAAGCCUUCUAAUAAGUUGAUAAUUUUGUUACCGUAUUGCCAGGACAGUUAGGCAAAACAUCAUAGUAUUUUCUAGGAUGUUAAGUUCUUCUUUCUCAAGGAUUGUGUUAUUGUUAUUUAUAUAUCCUGGCUUUACAAUGCUACAAAUGGGAUGUUAACCCCCUUCUUUGUAAUUCAUUACAAUGUUAUAUACAAGAGAGCAUGUUAUUAUUCAUUA